CGGGAAACCGGGGCUAAUACCGGAUGGUUGUUUGAACCGCAUGGUUCAGACAUAAAAGGUGGCUUCGGCUACCACUUACAGAUGGACCCGCGGCGCAUUAGCUAGUUGGUGAGGUAACGGCUCACCAAGGCGACGAUGCGUAGCCGACCUGAGAGGGUGAUCGGCCACACUGGGACUGAGACACGGCCCAGACUCCUACGGGAGGCAGCAGUAGGGAAUCUUCCGCAAUGGACGAAAGUCUGACGGAGCAACGCCGCGUGAGUGAUGAAGGUUUUCGGAUCGUAAAGCUCUGUGUAGGGAAGAACAAGUGCGUCAAAUAGGGCGGCACUGACGGUACCUAACCAGAAAGCCACGGCUAACUACGUGCCAGCAGCCGCGGUAAUACGUAGGUGGCAAGCGUGUCCGGGAAUUAUUGGGCGUAAAGGGCUCGCAGGCGGUUUCUUAAGUCUGAUGUGAAAGCCCCCGGCUCAACCGGGGAGGGUCAUUGGAAACUGGGGAACUUGAGUGCAGAAGAGGAGAGUGGAAUUCCACGUGUAGCGGUG
rnacentral:rRNA from 1 species